AGUGAACGCUGGCGGUAGGCCUAACACAUGCAAGUCGAACGGCAGCACAGUAAGAGCUUGCUCUUACGGGUGGCGAGUGGCGGACGGGUGAGGAAUACAUCGGAAUCUACUUUUUCGUGGGGGAUAACGUAGGGAAACUUACGCUAAUACCGCAUACGACCUACGGGUGAAAGCAGGGGAUCUUCGGACCUUGCGUGAUUGAAUGAGCCGAUGUCGGAUUAGCUAGUUGGCGGGGUAAAGGCCCACCAAGGCGACGAUCCGUAGCUGGUCUGAGAGGAUGAUCAGCCACACUGGAACUGAGACACGGUCCAGACUCCUACGGGAGGCAGCAGUGGGGAAUAUUGGACAAUGGGCGCAAGCCUGAUCCAGACAUACCGCGUGGGUGAAGAAGGACUUCGGGUUGUAAAGCACUUUUGUUGGGAAAGAAAAGCAGCAGGUUAAUACCCCGCUGUUCUGACGGUACCCAAAGAAUAAGCACCGGCUAACUUCGUG
rnacentral:rRNA from 1 species